UGCUUUCCUUGCAGGAGCAGCCAAGGCUUUAUGCACAUGAAACUGAUGAAAUCCAAAGAGAAAUACAUCCUGGGUCAGAACAGCCCUCCCUUUGACAGCGUUCCCAAAGUCAUCCACUACUACACCACAAAAAAGCUGCCCAUCAGAGGAGCAGAACACUUGUCACUUCUCUAUCCAGUGGCUGUGCAGACCCUAUAAUGCUGCAGUCUCCACCCUUUUUCCUGUGGGUGGCAGAGGAGAGAUGCACCAAAUUCCUUCCCAGAAUUCAGCUCUUGAACCUGUGAUGGAGAGUGGCUGCCUCUUGUUUCAGAUGCGUGGGUUCUCUGCCAAGUCACGUACAAGACUUCUGUGUAUGGUACUCAUGCUAUUGUAUGCCCGUAGAACUGUGCUUCUAUUUUAAAGAAAGAAAUACUGUUUAAAUGCAAGGAGAACAGAUACCUUCCCAGAGCUUCUCUGUAAAUGAAAAAUAUUUUCAAAUCCAAAGAUCUGCCUCUGAGGCUUAAACAAAAUCAACUUCUCAUCAGUAAAGGACUGGUGACAUUUUGUUCUCUUGCUACCCUGAGAAACACCUCUGAGGAACACUGUAACCCAACAAAAUGCUGAGGCUGGUGCAUUUUCCUGGUGGACCUGGGAAGGAGCUGCUUAGCAUGCGUUUGGGAGCAGUGGGGGCCGGCUGCUCCACGAGGGAAGGUGAGCCAGGAGCCGAGCAUGAUAACAAGGCAGGCGCCAGCAGCGACCUCACCAACAAGGAGGCGGGAUGCAGCGCGGCAAGUCCGGGUCAGGGCCAGGGCCAGAGACAGGGGCCAGGGCCAGACACAGCCCACUGCUCACCCGGCAAGUCCGUAGUGACGAGGCAGGCCCGGGCUCAAGCCAGGAAGCCGAGCCGGCGGGUCCGGGCCAGACUCGGGGAGGUAGGAGACCGGGCGCAGACACGGCUGCUGCACAGCUGCGACGUAGCACAGGCGGGGCCAGCGGUGCAGCCUCAGCUUAAAAGCGGCUCCCAAGGGCAAGGAGGGGCAGGGCCUUGCUCCUAGCUUGCUUCACAACAGCUCUUAGCAGCGAGGGAGCUGACCUUGGGCUCUGAAACUUUGGCACAAGCUCCCUGAAGACAGGACAAUUGCACAUGAGAAUUUACCCAAGCCAGUGGACACAUGUGGCCGACAGGAAAAGUCAGCUCCCUGUAAAAACAUGGUGGUUCUUAUUACAUUCUUCCUUAGCAUCAGACCUAACCUAGACCAAAGGAGGUGUUUCUCCUUCAGCAAGCCUUUCCAAACCUUGGCACAAGAGCCACUUUCUUAUAUCCAGCUUCACUGCAAGUCUUAAAAGACUCUAUUUUGGGAGAUAUUAUCAGCAGAGCAAACAUUCAACCUAAUUAAAGCCACUUCCACCAUGGACAGCGUAGGAUCAGAUACACCAGUAAGUUAAGUCACCCACCUCAAGGUUUCUCAUUUGAUUAAAGUGCAGUUACAAACCAACUUCUUGGAGAACUAUGUGGUACCAGGAAGAAAAUAACAAUACCAAGAAAAUACCAACUGAUGAGCAAGCAACUGGCUUUUGAUAGUGACCAAAGAUUGUUGCUGCAGAUUGUAAUUAUCCUCCUCAAGCUCUGGAGCCAGUUAACACCAUAAUUGUGAGGCUCCACAGCUUUCAAUAAGGAAUAAGUUGAGAUUCAGAAGAACUGACCACUUAGUAUAGACAGCUUACAUUCUCUUUUUAGUAGUAAUUUUAGCUUCUCAAAUUGGGGCCACAGGAUUUUAUUUUAUAUAGACAUUUGCUCUUUGUUAAUCCUCAAGACAUCUUGCACAAACAUUUUAGGCCCUAAUUUUGAACUAUUGCAUCUAGUUUGAUUCAACAGACUUGAUUAAGAGUUGGAGUACAUCUGUACACAGGGAAGGAGCAACCAAAUGAGCUCCUUGGUUAAUAACACAUACAAUUGACAAAAAAACCCACUUUGUUAGCUAACAGCAUGUCAUUCACAGCAGUAAAGAACAGAUUGUUGACCUUGCUCAAAGGCUUUAACUUUACAGAUAUGUAUGCAGGAAAAGUCUUAGAACUAAAGUUAGGCUGAAAUAAUUAAACUGAGUUGUGGGUUCUCUUCCAGAGUAGGAAGAGGUUAUGGUGACCUCAUUUGACCCUAUUAAAAAGGAAAAGAAGGAUAUCAUGCUAUUUUUGGAGUUCAAACAGUUGGGGCUUCCUUGGGAAAAUUGGUUUUGAUUGGUACUAAGUGCAAGGUCAAGCUGCUUUGACACCAGCAAUUUGAGGAGACUUUUCUACAGUUAAGCUAUAACAACCUGCUACCUUUAAGAUAAAUACAGUAUAAAUAUGAAAGAUCUGUGAAACCAACAAAUAUUAAACACCCUAGAAUGUUGCCUGUGUGAUAUAAAAAUGUGAAAUACAUAAGAGAGAUGGAGGGUUUUUAAGCUUUCUGCAAGACAGGGUCUCCAGACACCAUGUUUCCCCACUCUGACAGAUCAUGUUAAAGGUAAACAAGGUAACAGGCUGAAUGGAGAACAAGCUUUUUGAUUUAAGCAAUAAAAGGAUGCGAGCUGA